AAGUAUCUAAUAAAACGUGAAAUCGUCGUGAUUAAGAUUAGAAUUGAUUAGCCACGUACCAUUUUUAACACUUUGUUUAAAUUCACACUUUGAAGUUAUUCUUUUCAAGGAGACUAUUGUUGACUGGUAAAGUGUUUGCCGUGAGUCUGUCGGAUAACAUUGGUACUUCUUAGUUCAUUUCGUGUCGCCAAUGUGGAAAAUUCUUCUUGUUGCUGAUUGAACUUGCCAUGGAACUUCUUGGAGACACAAUUAAUCAGGAUGUGUCAGAGAUUUCAACCCCAGCCCCCCACGACGGGGUGGAUUUCGAUUCGCGAGAAGGACGGCAAAUGGAGACACCCUCUAACUUAUUCAAAGGCGCAGAAGGUUGGCCAUACGAGCGACCAUAGGUGAACACAGCAGUCGAGUGGGUGGAAAGGGUGCAACUGGGUGAAGCAGACACCAAUGGCGAGUCUAGGACAAGUCGGGCUACGUGGAACGUCGUGGAUUUACCUAAUACUCCUGUGAUUCUCG